rnacentral:lncRNA from 1 species
CUUAAACCUGGGAGAUGGAGGUUGCAGUGAGCUGAGAUCGUGCCCCACUGUACUCCAGCCUGGGAAACAGAGUGAGACUCCAUCUCCCAAAAAAAAAAAAAAAAAAGGUUCUUUGUUCACACUUUCUCUGCGCUGCUGCAAGUGACUUUGGUGCCGUUUCCUGCAGCCUGUGUCGGUGGCUGGGACUUUCUCGACAGCAAGGCAGGCCGUGCAUGAGGCCUAUAGGACCCAGGGCUGCCUCCCAAUGCUGACGGCCCUGCGCUGUGUGAGCUUGGGUAAGCCAGUUCGGCUCACUUCACCUCAGGUUCCUUGUUCCUAUGUGGACGGGUUGCUUGUUUGGAGGAUUAAUAAUGAUGGGGAAUGCAAAGUGUGGUUGGUUUUGCUGGGGAAAAGAGCAGGGAAGUAGAGACCUAGGCAGGUGAUGUCACCUCUCUGAUGAACUCCAAGGUCUCUGUCAACACCGGUGCCUUUGUCCUGACAUUGCGGGGUUUGUGGCAUGAUUGGAGAGACCUUGCGUGCUCUCUGGGCAGCCCUUGUUAGUGCCCCCCAACUAGCUGGGAGAUCCAGAGUUUCAUGAGAACCCUCCCUCCGUGACAAAAUCCGCCUUCCUCGCUGUCAGGCUCAGGUUGUCCUGUGCCCCCACUGAGCCUGCUCAUUAUUGAUUAAUGAACUUGUAAAAUGAGAAGUAUUGUUUUACCGGAAGCUACAUGUUUAUGUGGUUGGUAAAAAUGAGAAGAGUUGCUUGAGAACUGGUUCUCC